UACGUAGGGGGCAAGCGUUGUCCGGAUUUAUUGGGCGUAAAGAGCGUGUAGGCGGCCUGACAGGUCUGCUGUGAAAACUCGAGGCUCAACCUCGAGAUGUCGGCGGAAACCGUCUGGCUAGAGUCCGGAAGAGGAGAGUGGAAUUCCUGGUGUAGCGGUGAAAUGCGUAGAGAUCGGAAAGAACAUCGAUGGCGAAGGCAGCGGCCUGGGUCCAGACUGACACUGAGGUGCGAAAGCGUGGGGAGCAAACAGG
rnacentral:rRNA from 1 species